rnacentral:misc_RNA from 1 species
ACAAAGUUGAAAAAUGCUCGUAAAUUCUUAGAAAAAGGCGACAAAGUAAAAGCAGCUGUUCGUUUCCGUGGACGUGCGAUUACUCACAAAGAGCUUGGCCGUGAUGUAUUAGAUCGUUUAGCUGAAGAAGUUAAAGAUAUUUCUACAAUCGAGUCUAAGCCAAAAAUGGAAGGUCGUAACAUGUUUAUGAUCCUUGCACCAACAACUGAAAAAUAAUAUUUAUUGAUGCUUACAAGGAGGAAAUCAUCAUGCCAAAAAUGAAAACCCAUAAAGGUUCUGCUAAACGUUUCAAAAGAACUGGUACUGGAAAACUAA